AAUCUCUUGGCUGAUUAAGCAGCUGUUUUGAAAGCAGCACAAGGUUGUUGAACCAACCAGAGAUUU
rnacentral:tRNA from 1 species